UUUAGGAAUGUGUCUCAAACGAACAUGAUGAAAAACACAUUGAAAAAGUGUAUUGUGGGCAUAUAUUUCAUAAUAUAUGCUUAGAUACAUACAUGAAGACACCACCAUUCCAUGGAGGUAAAAAAUGUCCUAGUUGUAAGCAACGAAUUUACCAUGACAAAUGGAAAAUAACUCCAAAGUUGGCCGAAGAUCGCUGGGCACAUCAGGAAGCAAAAAAGAGAGAACUUGGUGAAGUGGUUGAAUUCUUCGAGUGAAUUCAUAAAUUUUAUGUGGAAAAUUACUGCCUAUGUAAUUUUUUGUAAUCAUUUUGACAUUAUUCAUUGACUAUGCCAUUGGUUUGUUUAGAUAUUGUGGUAUGCCUUAUUUCUGUUGACUAAUUUAGGAUGUGUUGAAACUGCCCUCAUUUUGAAUUGAUCAUAAUUGAUCAUGCCAUUUUUUUUACAUUAAAGUGUUACAUUUA